rnacentral:rRNA from 1 species
UACGGAGGGUGCAAGCGUUGUUCGGAAUUAUUGGGCGUAAAGGGCGCGUAGGUGGUUGUGAUAGUCAGAUGUGAAAUCCUUUGGCUUAACUGAAGAACUGCAUCUGAAACUUCACAACUCGAGUACAGGAGAGGGAAACGGAAUUCCCGGUGUAGAGGUGAAAUUCGUAGAUAUCGGGAGGAACACCAGUGGCGAAGGCGGUUUCCUGGCCUGAUACUGACACUGAGGCGCGAAAGCGUGGGGAGCAAACAGGAUUAGAUACCCCGGUAGUCCCUGAG